CGGCAGUUGAAAGUUAAUGACAAAGCUUGAAAUUCCAAGGAAAUCCAUAUUUCAAGUCUUCAAACAUCAGCUUACAUCGUGCGCUGUAUACUGAUACUUUUCUGCGGAGCUGAAUAUUCUUCACAACAGGCAUGCGUAGAAGCCAGAAUGCGCCAGUUUUCUUAGAAGUGUCUUCUUAGAGCUGCACUUGAUCAACUACAUUAAAAUGACACAAGUACAGACAAGAGAUUAGAGAAUGGAGUGGAUAUGCUGCGGUAUCCGGACCUAGAGAUUGUUUCUCGUCUGAAACAAAUCGUCAGGCUUUCUUCUGUGCGUUUAAAAGAAACAUAUUUCCGUCGUUGACAUCAAGAGUUUAUCAAUGGCGACGGAUAAGAGGACUAGAGCUGCACUUCAUCAACUAAGUUCAUUCGAUGACAGAAAAUGACAGUUGGAUAACAGAUUCGAGGACGCAGUGGAAACACUCUCAUCUCCGGACCCAGAUUAUCAUAUAAAUGCUGCUAUCCGUGAAAACUUUGAACUUUCUUAUUUGUUUUACUUUAGUAAGGAGAAUUCCAUUAUAUUCUUUUGCUAACUGAUAGCCUGUCGCCCUGAACGGUCUUGAGGUCUACGGAGGCUGAGUGCUAUUCCAGGCUAUAGGGCGCGUGCUCGAAUGAGUAAAGUUUGAUUUUUUUUUUGUGUGUGUGUCCUUUCCCUUAGUGCGUAUGGCAAGUACAGCAUAUAAUGUAUCUAGUGCAUGUAGAGUAACGUGAUGAAAGGUAUUGUUCUAUUUCUUCUGUUUUUUUUUUCAAUGCUUAUUUUUAACAGUGGUUAAAGCUCUUUAUAUUAAGAAUUAUGUUGUAUAUAAUCAAGAAUUAUUACCAGUGUCUAUGUUAUAUAACCAAGAGUAAUGUUCAAUAUAAUAUGUACCUAAUACCCACAGUGUAAUAAGUGUAGAAAUGAGUUUUGUAAGGUGUCUUAAAUUUAGUGCAGUAUUCAAUGUAAUAUGUAUUAUAAAAAUUAUAGUAUACUGAGUGUUUUAUAUCUAGCAAUGUUACCAGGAGAAUGUUUAAUUACAAAGCUAUUUUUGAUGGGGUUUUCAGAAUACAGCAAUAUUUUUGCAACAGUGAACUUUUAGCAUAAAAUUAUUUAAUCAAAAGCAGUAUGAG